AGUGACCGCUCCAGGGAUUCACCUCCACUUUUUAAAGAUCAAUCCAUUGGGAGAACCAACACAACCCUGGUAAGGAUCUACACAACCCUGAAAAAUGUGUUCUUUCGACGUGAGGUUGUAGGACUCGUCAUCCUAGUGGUAGUGAUACUCUCUGUCUGCAUUUAUUUUAAAAUCAAAGAAUUACAUGCACAGCUAGAACGGGAACGGGAAACUCGAGCUCGGGCAGAGUUCAUGUCUUACAUAUUAUCGUGUUUGUUAGCGAUAGCGUUAAUGUAGGUAGUUUUGUCCAGACUUUGCAAAGACGCUAAAAAAGAUACUGAUAUGACAUUAAUCUUGACUGGGCUAGUCUUUGUACCUGUCAGUUAAAGGCAUUAUUUUUUUUAGUUUUUUUUAGUUUUUGUCAACAAAUUCCAUUUAAAGAGACAAAAAAACAAAAUUUGGUUUGUCUCAGUAUUAUCCUACAUAUGUAAACAUGUUUUCAGGCCUAUACAACUUCACAGAAGCAGUAGCCUAUAUGUCCUGCAUUGUUCACCUUGUUUCCCCUUUCUCUUUCCCUCUGAAUGAAUACUUGCUCACUAUGGAUGCCACAUUUAUCUUGAUUAAAGAAUUACACGGAUGACACCA